AUUGAACGCUGGCGGCAUGCCUUACACAUGCAAGUCGAACGGCAGCGCGGGUGCUUGCACCUGGUGGCGAGCGGCGAACGGGUGAGUAAUACAUCGGAACAUGUCCUGUAGUGGGGGAUAGCCCGGCGAAAGCCGGAUUAAUACCGCAUACGAUCUACGGAUGAAAGCGGGGGACCUUCGGGCCUCGCGCUAUAGGGUUGGCCGAUGGCUGAUUAGCUAGUUGGUGGGGUAAAGGCCUACCAAGGCGACGAUCAGUAGCUGGUCUGAGAGGACGACCAGCCACACUGGGACUGAGACACGGCCCAGACUCCUACGGGAGGCAGCAGUGGGGAAUUUUGGACAAUGGGCGAAAGCCUGAUCCAGCAAUGCCGCGUGUGUGAAGAAGGCCUUCGGGUUGUAAAGCACUUUUGUCCGGAAAGAAAUCCUUGGCCCUAAUACGGUCGGGGGAUGACGGUACCGGAAGAAUAAGCACCGGCUAACUACGUG
rnacentral:rRNA from 1 species